rnacentral:rRNA from 1 species
CAGCACCUCAAGUGGUCAGGAUGAUUAUUGGGCCUAAAGCAUCCGUAGCCGGCGCUGUAAGUUUUCGGUUAAAUCUGUAUGCUCAACAUACAGGCUGCCGGGAAUACUGCAGAGCUAGGGAGUGGGAGAGGUAGACGGUACUCGGUAGGAAGGGGUAAAAUCCUUUGAUCUAUUGAUGACCACCUGUGGCGAAGGCGGUCUACCAGAACACGUCCGACGGUGAGGGAUGAAAGCUGGGGGAGCAAAACGGAUUAGAGACCCGCGUAGUCC